rnacentral:rRNA from 1 species
AUGAACGCUGGCGGCGUGCCUAAUACAUGCCAGUCGCGCGAACAGACGAGGAGCUUGCUCCUCUGACGUUAGCGGCGGACGGGUGAGUAACACGUGGAUAACCUACCUAUAAGACUGGGAUAACUUCGGGAAACCGGAGCUAAUACCGGAUAAUAUAUUGAACCGCAUGGUUCAAUAGUGAAAGACGGUUUUGCUGUCACUUAUAGAUGGAUCCGCGCCGCCUUAGCUAGUUGGUAAGGUAACGGCUUACCAAGGCAACGAUGCGUAGCCGAACUGAGAGGGUGAUCCGCCACACUGGAACUGAGACACGGUCCAGACUCCUACGGGAGGGAGCAGUAGGGAAUCUUCCGCAAUGGGCGAAAGCCUGACGGGGCAACGCCGCGUGAGUGAUGAAGGUCUUCGGAUCGUAAAACUCUGUUAUUAGGGAAGAACAAAUGUGUAAGUAACUAUGCACGUCUUGACGGUACCUAAUCAGAAAGCCACGGCUAACUACGUG